rnacentral:rRNA from 1 species
AUAACGUAGGGAAACUUACGCUAAUACCGCAUGCGCCCUUCGGGGAAAGCCGGGACCGUAAGGCCUGGCGCGAUUGGAUGAGCCCAUGUCGGAUUAGCUAGUUGGCGGGGUAAAGGCCCACCAAGGCGACGAUCCGUAGCUGGUCUGAGAGGAUGAUCAGCCACACUGGAACUGAGACACGGUCCAGACUCCUACGGGAGGCAGCAGUAGGGAAUAUUGGACAAUGGGCGCAAGCCUGAUCCAGCCAUGCCGCGUGAGUGAAGAAGGCCCUCGGGUUGUAAAGCUCUUUUGUCCGGAAAGAAAAGCGCCGGGUUAAUACCCUGGUGUCCUGACGGUACCGGAAGAGUAAGCACCGGCUAACUUCGUG